GACGAACGCUGGCGGCGUGCCUAAUACAUGCAAGUCGAACGAGAGCAACCGGUGCUUGCACUGGUCAAUCUAGUGGCGAACGGGUGAGUAACACGUGGGUAACCUGCCCAUCAGAGGGGGAUAACAUCCGGAAACGGAUGCUACAACCGCAUAGGUCUUCGAACCGCAUGGUUUGAAGAGGAAAAGAGGCGCAAGCUUCUGCUGAUGGCUGGACCCGCGGUGCAUUAGCUAGUUGGUGAGGUAACGGCUCACCAAGGCCGUGAUGCAUAGCCGACCUGAGAGGGUGAUCGGCCACAUUGGGACUGAGACACGGCCCAGACUCCUACGGGAGGCAGCAGUAGGGAAUCUUCCGCAAUGGACGCAAGUCUGACGGAGCAACGCCGCGUGAGUGAAGAAGGUUUUCGGAUCGUAAAACUCUGUUGUUAGGGAAGAACAAGUGCUAGAGUAACUGUUAGCGCCUUGACGGUAUCUAACCAGAAAGCCACGGCUAACUACGUG
rnacentral:rRNA from 1 species